rnacentral:rRNA from 1 species
UACAGAGGGUGCGAGCGUUAAUCGGAAUUACUGGGCGUAAAGCGUGCGUAGACGGUCAUGUAAGUCGGGUGUGAAAGCCCCGGGCUCAACCUGGGAAUUGCAUUCGAGACUGCAUGGCUAGGAUGCGGAAGAGGGAAGCGGAAUUUCCGGUGUAGCGGUGAAAUGCGUAGAUAUCUGGAGGAACACCGGUGGCGAAGGCGGCAUCCUGGACCGGCAUUGACGCUGAGGAGCGAAAGCCAGGGGAGCAAACGGG